rnacentral:rRNA from 1 species
AGUGAACGCUGGCGGUAGGCUUAACACAUGCAAGUCGAACGGCAGCACAGUAAGUGCUUGCUCUUACGGGUGGCGAGUGGCGGACGGGUGAGGAAUAAAUCCGUAUCUACUUUUUCGGGGGGGAUAACGUAGGGAAACUUACGCUAAUACCGCAUACGACCUCCGGGUGAAUGCAGGGGAUCUUCGGGCCUUGCGCGAUUGAAUGAGCCGAUGCCGGAUUCGUUAGUUGGCGGGGUAAAGGCCCACCAAGGCGACGAUCCGUAGCUGGUCUGAGAGGAUGAUCAGCCACACUGGAACUGAGACACGGUCCAGACUCCUACGGGAGGCAGCAGUGGGGAAUAUUGGACAAUGGGCGCAAGCCUGAUCCAGCCAUACCGCGUGGGUGAAGAAGGCCUUCGGGUUGUAAAGCCCUUUUGUUGGGAAAGAAAAGCAGCAGGUUAAUACCCCGCUGUUCUGACGGUACCCAAAGAAUAAGCACCGGCUAACUUCGUG